GACGAACCGUGCGAACGUUAUUCGGAAUCACUGGGCUUAAAGCGCGUGUAGGCGGGUGGGAACGUCGGUCUUUGAAAGCCCCCGGCUCAACCGGGGAAGUGGAGCCGAAACGACCCGCCUGGAGGGACGUAGGGGGACCUGGAACUUCCGGUGGAGCGGUGAAAUGCGUUGAGAUCGGAAGGAACGCCCGUGGCGAAAGCGAGGUCCUGGACGUCUGCUGACGCUGAGACGCGAAAGCUAGGGGAGCGAACGGG
rnacentral:rRNA from 1 species